AUUGAACGCUGGCGGCAGGCCUAACACAUGCAAGUCGAACGAGUGGCGGACGGGUGAGUAAUGUCUGGGAAACCGCCCGAUGGAGGGGGAUAACUACUGGAAACGGGAGCUAAUACCGCAUACCAUCAGAUGUGCCCAGAUGGGCUUAGCUAGUAGGUGGGGUAACGGCUCACCUAGGCGACGACCCCUAGCUGGUCUGAGAGGAUGACCAGCCACACUGGAACGGAGACACGGUCCAGACUCCUACGGGAGGCAGCAGUGGGGAAUAUUGCACAAUGGGCGCAAGCCUGAUGCAGCCAUGCCGAGUGUAUGAAGAAGGCCUUCGGGUUGUAAAGUACUUUCAGCGAGGAGGCGUUACUCGCAGAAGAAGCACCGGCUAACUCCGUGCCAGCAGCCGCGGUAAUUC
rnacentral:rRNA from 1 species